GAAACUUCGGUCGAUUUAAUUUAAUUCUAGUGGCGGACGGGUGAGUAACGCGUGGGUAACCUGCCUUGUACAGGGGGAUAACAGUCAGAAAUGACUGCUAAUACCGCAUAAGCGCACAGGACCGCAUGGUCCGGUGUGAAAAACUCCGGUGGUAUAAGAUGGACCCGCGUUGGAUUAGCUUGUUGGUGGGGUAACGGCCCACCAAGGCGACGAUCCAUAGCCGGCCUGAGAGGGUGAACGGCCACAUUGGGACUGAGACACGGCCCAGACUCCUACGGGAGGCAGCAGUGGGGAAUAUUGCACAAUGGGGGAAACCCUGAUGCAGCGACGCCGCGUGAAGGAAGAAGUAUCUCGGUAUGUAAACUUCUAUCAGCAGGGAAGAAAAUGACGGUACCUGACUAAGAAGCCCCGGCUAACUACGUGCCAGCAGCCGCGGUAAUACGUAGGGGGCAAGCGUUAUCCGGAUUUACUGGGUGUAAAGGGAGCGUAGACGGAUGGACAAGUCUGAUGUGAAAGGCUGGGGCUCAACCCCGGGACUGCAUUGGAAACUGCCCGUCUUGAGUGCCGGAGAGGUAAGCGGAAUUCCUAGUGUAGCGGUGAAAUGCGUAGAUAUUAGGAGGAACACCAGUGGC
rnacentral:rRNA from 1 species